UUUGCUCUAUUUCUGUAUAUAUAUAUUGCAAUAUGGUUUAUAGGUGGUCGUCAUCUCGUGCCUUUAUUUAUCUCAUCUCUUAAAAUAAAAAUCGGUAAAGAUAAUUUAAUCCUUACAAGGAAAGAGUUGGUCAUAUUCUUGUAAAAAAAAAAGAUAAAGAAAAAUAUAUACAUAAUUUAUUAAUAGUACAGUAGAAAUAUUUUGAAAAGUUACGCCCGUUUUUCUUUUCUUGAUACAUUAACUGAAACUAUGCAAAAAAUUGAAGUAAGAUUAAGCACUGAUUUGUUUACUUGUUUAAAAACUUCAAAAUGAGACAAGAGGGCAGAAGACUGACUUAAGUUUAAUCUUAAAAAAAAAACUCAAGUUUUGUCGUAGAAAUUUUGUUCCAUUUGUUUGUUACAUCGGUGCUCAUAUAUCAAAUAUUAAGCUGGCAAAUUAAAAUGCAAUAAUACUGUUCUUAAAAACUUGUAAGACAUAAAAUUAAUAUUAAUAAAUAAAGCAUAUUGAAUUUGUGUGUAAUGUUUUAUUGAAAGGAAACGGAGAUGGAUAUUAAAGUAAAUCUAGCAUGACGUAGUGACGUAAUUUGAACAUUGUCACCAAAAGAAAUAGAGCGCAUCUUUAGAUAAAAUGCCGACAGUUCGCACACUAAUACCACUCGGAUUACACGGGAAGAAUAACGAUAAUAAAUUUUUGUUACGAAAAUAUCCAGAAGUUAUUUUGUUGGUUGAAACUCCACCCCAUUUCCUGUCGAAAAUAUCCAUUUCCCGUCUGUUCUGGAAUUGGACAUAUCGCUCGGUGCAUAAGGUGAGAACUUUCUUUUUACUUUUCAUGGCGAUUGUCUACUAAAAAUUUCGUAUUACAGUGGACUCGCGUUUUUACGAACUUAUUUGGGCGUCCGUACCAGUUGGUAAAAUCGAGAGUCCAC
rnacentral:lncRNA from 1 species